UACAGAGGUCUCGAGCGUUAGGCGGAAUCACUGGGCUUAAAGCGUGUGUAGGCGGGUCGUUAAGUACCUUGUGAAAUCCCAUGGCUCAACCAUGGAACUGCUGGGUAUACUGGCGAUCUUGUGCAACCUAGGGGCGAGCGGAACAGAUGGUGGAGCGGUGAAAUGCGUAGAUAUCAUCUGGAACGCCAAUGGUGAAAACAGCUCGCUGGGGGUUUGCAGACGCUGAGACACGAAAGCCAGGGGAGCAAACGGG
rnacentral:rRNA from 1 species